rnacentral:rRNA from 1 species
AUCGGUGCCAUUGUAGUUGCUUCUGUGACUCGACCGGUGCUGAAAAGACGACCAAGCUUGAUCAUUUAGAGGAAGUAAAAGUCGUAACAAGGUUUCCGUAGGUGAACCUGCGGAAGGAUCAUUACUCGACGCUAACCUAACGAGCUCAGCUAGUGGCUGAGUCACCAAAACGAGCCGUCAUGCUCGUAAAAUUGAUCAUUUUGCCUAUACCUGGUGGAGUGUCCAUCUCCGUAUAGAGCCCGAAUAUGGCAGGGUGCCUCCCCGUCAAAUACUUGCUGGCAUACUCUCGGUCUUCGGACUGUCAGUCCCUGUCGGGGGUGACGGGAUGUACUGUCGUUCGCGGCAGUGCUAGGCUCAAAGAGUGGUGAAUAUCAAGAGCUACGGCUCGGCCACCGCCCUGUCUUGUUUCCAACCAUUUUACAAAACAUGGGUGAUUCUUGCUGGUGCAAACCGGCUUGGAUCGAUGCUCAUUAAUGCGCCUGGUGCAAACUGGGUUGCAUUGCGGUCUUCCAGAGUUGCCUUGACCUGGUUGACUGUGAAUUGACUCGUUCAUCUGGAUAACCAGUGUUCGAGCCAAGUACAACUCUGAGCGGUGGAUCACUCGGCUCGUGUGUCGAUGAAGAGCGCAGCCAACUGUGUGAAUUAAUGCGAACUGCAUACUGCUUUGAACAUCGACAUCUUGAACGCAUAUUGCGGCCAUGGGUUAGCCUGUGGCCACGCCUGUCCGAGGGUCGGCUUAUAAACUAUCACGACGCCCAAAAAGUCGUGGCUUGGGUUUUGCCAGCUGGUUUGAUCCCCAAAGGUUUGGCUGUUUAGCUUCUCCGGGGUGUACUAGAUCUAUGGCUUUGCCCUAAUGUAUCCGGACAACCGCAUCAUGCCAUUGGCUUGGAUGAGGAUGUGGCGACGGAGUCGUGGCUCAGUAUAUCUAAGCGCGCUCUGCAUCGUGGUUCUUUCCUUGCUAUGACAUGCUAUGCCGCUCUUUUUGUCCGAAGACCCAUGAGGUUUGCUCAAUAUGGGGGAUGAGGAUAUGGCGACAGAGUUUUGGCUGAGUUUCCAUACUAACGCUGACUCUGCAUCGUGGUUCUCAUCUUUCUAUAGUGGAGCGUAUAUUUCCUGACCUCGGAUCAGACGUGAUUACCCGCUGAACUUAAGCAUAUCACUAAGCGGAGGAAAAGAAACUAACAAGGAUUCCCUUAGUAACGGCGAGUGAACAGGGAUGAGCCCAGCACCGAAGCCUGUGGUCAUUUGGCCAUUGGGCAAUGUGGUGUUCAGGUUGUUCCGCAGAGGCACUGCUCCACCCCAAGUCCAGCAAUGAGUACGGUAUUCUGGACCCGGCCCAUAGAGGGUGAAAGGCCCGUUAGGGUGGAGUGUCGACUGGCCAGUGUCUCUCUGGAUAGACCUUGGAGUCGGGUUGUUUGUGAAUGCAGCCCAAAGCGGGUGGUAAACUCCAUCCAAGGCUAAAUACAAACACGAGUCCGAUAGCGAACAAGUACCGUGAGGGAAAGUUGAAAAGUACUUUGAAGAGAGAGUAAACAGUGCGUGAAACCGCUCAGAGGUAAGCAGGUGGAGUUGAACUGCAAGCUGUGAGAAUUCAGCUGGUGAGUGUGGUUUGAGCUUGGUCAAAUUGGUUGGGCCCCAAGGUAUGCUUAUCUGCAUGUCCUUCCUUCGGGUUGGGUGCGCGAGGCACUUAUCAAGUGUUGCGCGCCUUGGGCGUCUUUCGAGCCUACUUGCCAGUGCACUUUCUCAUGGUAUUCAUCACGACCGGCGCUGCCGUCGGGCUGUUGUAGUUAAACCGGUUUUGUAAGGUCCUUGUGGCUUUGCUUGAUCGGGAUGGCAGGUAGCCUGUUUGCUUGCUUCGGCUUGCUUUCAGGUGUAAUCAGCUGACUGCAAUGGUUCUGUGCGGUGUGUCGGAGACGGCGGCUUGUGGUGUGUGCAUGCGUGCCUUAUCUGCUGGCGGAUCUCGGUCUGGUCACUAUGUUGCUUGUUCAAGCAGGCCUAGUGAUGGCUGGGGUUCGUCUGGUGGGUGGUUGCGUGUGCUUCACUGUCCAGGGCCAACAGUCUGUGAUGUAGUGGUAGACUAUCCACCUGACCCGUCUUGAAACACGGACCAAGGAGAGUAACAUGUGCGCGAGUCAUUGGGCGUAACGAAACCCAAAGGCGCAGUGAAAGUGAAAGUUUGACUCGUUCAGACUUAGGUGAGAUCCUGUCGUUUCUCACGCAUGGUACUACCAAGCAUCGAGCGGCAGGCGCAUCACCGGCCCGUCCCAUGACGUGGACAUAGUCUUCGGAUUGUGCAUCGUCGGGGCGGAGCAUGAGCGUACAUGUUGAGACCCGAAAGAUGGUGAACUAUGCUUGCGCAGGUUGAAGCCAGAGGAAACUCUGGUGGAGGACCGCAGCGAUUCUGACGUGCAAAUCGAUCGUCAAACGUGAGUAUAGGGGCG